rnacentral:rRNA from 1 species
UACGAAGGGGGCAAGCGUUGUUCGGAAUUACUGGGCGUAAAGGGCGCGUAGGCGCCGAUCAAGUCAGGCGUGAAAUUCCCGGGCUCAACCUGGGGGCUGCGCUUGAUACUGAUUGGCUUGAAUGCGGGAGAGGAUAGUGGAAUUCCCAGUGUAGAGGUGAAAUUCGUAGAUAUUGGGAAGAACACCGGUGGCGAAGGCGGCUAUCUGGCCCGUAAUUGACGCUGAGGCGCGAAAGCGUGGGGAGCAAACAGG